AUUUGAUCUUAUACUUUCCAAAACAUUUGUUUUUCGUUUAUUAAUUUUUUUAUUAUUUAGUUUUUUAAAGAGCUGUACAAACAGCAGAUGUGUUGAAGGAGAAAGGAUUUUGGAAUCAGAGACCAACUCUCAGUCCUGCCUCGGAGAUCUCCUUGCUGUGUGAACUUGGUCCUGCCUCUCUGCACCUUGGUUUCUUACCUUAUCUGGUACUUAAGAUCACUGGGAUUCCUGCCUGGAUUCAGAUAGAUUCAUCAAAUGACAAUUAUCAUUUUGAUCUUGCCUGAGAACUUUACUUUGAUUUUAGUUCAUUGCUGAUUUCCCAUUUUGUUGUAGUUUUUGGUGGUUUUCAGACACACGUUACUCAAAUGCCACAGAUUCUUUUUCCUUUCCUGCAUUGUCUGUGAUGGAAGAAAUAUGAUUUACUGUUAGAACAAUAUUAAUAGUAUAGCACUUACGCUCAUCAAAGCUUCUCUUUAUUAUAUUAUUUCAUAGUCGUGUUAAUUCUGCACAGUUCAUAGGUUAAAGAAUAUUCAGACAAGGAAACUAAACCCCAAAGAAACUGUGAUUUAUGUGAACCUAUAAGCAGGGUCUGCAAUUGAGUGUUAAUAUUACCUUUGAAAGAUUAUUUUUACUGUAUAAAGUAUAGUUGGUUCUUAAACUUUUUUGGAUCCUGGACUUGUUUGAAUGUCUGAUGAAGGUGCUUGUGCCUCUCUCCAUAUGACAGCAGAAAUAAAUGUGUGCACACACGUUGUCUGUGGUUCCUCUCCCCUCCCCGACUCAGCUGGUUAUGGGAAACUCUAGCUCCAGUAGUCCUGCUCAUGCAUCCCAUGGCAAGGCACCUGAUGAGGCAGCCUGAUUUUGCUGAAUUUUCAUUCAAUUGUACAUGUGAGUGUGUGUGGACACACAGCACAAAUCCUUCCGCCAGCAGUGUGCUGUGACACUUUCCACAGAGAAAGAAUAAAGGUUGAUUAAUUCAGUCACUGUAUUCUGUGGAAAAUAGGUUACCGACAAAAUGUUAACAUCUUUUUCUAAGAAAAAAGAAUGCUGUGUUCAAAAAAGUUUAGGAAAUGCUGCCUAUAUUGUCGUCGUAUGGAGAUUCACUUUAGGACAUCAAAGACUCUAGAAGUCCUCCAGUAAAGGCUUGUGACCUCUUUCUGACCCUGCUUCUCCCUACGUUAUCAAACCUCAUAGCCUUUUUUCGUAUUUGUAUAAUUCUCAUCAACAUCACCUGGAAUACGCUUUUGGAAAUGGUGAAUGCUUUCAUUCAGUUUCUGUGAUUCUUACAGCAUCUGCCACUUAUCCUGGGAGCUAUGACAGUGGCAUGGCUGCCUCAGCAUUUGGGAGUCUGGACUUGCUGGGCCCCGAGCCUUUGCCCUGCUCUGGUUAUCCCUGUCGCCUCACUGAAUUGGAGGACUGCGGCCCUUUCUGUCUAAGGGCCCAAAGUAUUGACAUUGACAUAGGGCUCCUUUGUCUGAUUUUUAUUCUAAUACCUUUUGAAGAUGCUACACAGGGAUCCAGUGCACCCUUUGUAGCAGUUACCUCCCUCCACAUUCUUGGCAGAUUCUAUUUCGCUCUCUUUUUUAACCAUUUUAGUCACUAUUCCAGUUAUGGUUGACACUAGAGCUUAUCCUACUACAACAUUCUCACCUUCCACUAUCAGGCAGGUUUGAGAGGCAGAAGCAGACCACGGAUGAUACCAUCAGGGAUGGCUCUGGGACCAACAGGCCUUGCUCAAAUUCCAGGUCCACUGUGUACUGACUCUGUGAACAGGGUGACCUGCUACACCACGUCUGUACAAUGGUGAUAAUAGUGAGCCCACCUCAUUGGUGCCAUUGCCUCAGAGCAGUUAAUACACACAAUGGAAAUAGGACAGGGCCUGGCUGUGAUCAGCGAGUGCUUGUUAUUGCUAUCCGAAGUCAGUUGACUCUGGUUCUCGUGACCUGCUCACGGCCUGCUAAAUAGUC
ensembl:lncRNA